rnacentral:rRNA from 1 species
AACGAACGCUGGCGGCAGGCCUAACACAUGCAAGUCGAACGCCGUAGCAAUACGGAGUGGCAGACGGGUGAGUAACGCGUGGGAACAUACCCCUCGGUUCGGAAUAACUCAGGGAAACUUGAGCUAAUACCGGAUACGUCCGAGGUUUUGAUCGACCUUGGAGAAAGAUUUAUCGCCGAAGGAUUGGCCCGCGUCUGAUUAGCUUGUUGGUGAGGUAAUGGCUCACCAAGGCGACGAUCAGUAGCUGGUCUGAGAGGAUGAUCAGCCACAUUGGGACUGAGACACGGCCCAAACUCCUACGGGAGGCAGCAGUGGGGAAUAUUGGACAAUGGGCGAAAGCCUGAUCCAGCCAUGCCGCGUGAGUGAUGAAGGCCUCGGUUGUAAG